GUGUGCGUGUGUGUGUGCGUGUGUGUGUGUGUGUGUGUGUGUAAGGUGUGGGAUCAGAUUCCUGCAGCAGCUCUUGUUUGUUCUUGGACAUAUUUUGGGAUGAGCUGUUUUAUGCUGCACGCUAUCUGCACAUUUUUCUUCUUCCCACUGCAGAGACACGCCUCGUCAAAGAUCAGAUGUCUGAUCCGAGACGCAGGAAGUGACUUACUGCAGCUUCAUAUCUGAGCCGUGAGACAUUCAAAUGAACCCGUGUUAUGAAGACAGGGAGCUUCUUCUCUGUUGACUGGCAGAGUCAUGAGCUCUGUGUGACCUUUAUUUUGAAGAGAGAAGAAUAAGUGAUGAAGGGUGGAGCAGUUGUUGGUGGAGAGUAACUAAGUAUAUAUACCCAAGUACUGUAAGUACAAACUCGAGGUACUUGUACUGUAUUGUAUGUUACUUUAUAC